UUUUCCAGCUAGGAUAAGCUUCCGAGUAUAAACCAGUAAGCAAGCAAUUGUUUUGAAGCGGGCUUCCCAGCAAGUUCCAUGCCAAAGCUUAAGAAUCCCAGCCAGCGUACUAAGCCCUGCGGAGCGGAUAUUUUGUAUAUCGGCUCCGGUGAGCACUCCUGAUGGAGCCUUUGAUUUAUAGUCGUUAUCCGACAAUACUAGUUAGAACACACAGGUACAUGUAUGUAGUACCCUUAGUGCUCCUACUAGGGAUAUAGGACAAGGCUUAAGCUAGCAUUAGAUAAAAAUAUAGUAAAUAGUAGACAUGAUGAUAGAUGCGAAUGCAGCUAUAACACUACUGGAAAAACACCUGAAAAAAUUUUCAGGCUUUGAACAGGAUUCAAACCCACGACCCUCUCGAUACUGGUGCAAUGCUCUCCCAACUAAGCUAUCAAAGCCACAUGAGAGCGGUUGUGUGUUGGUUGGCCCUUUAUGUUCAUUGGACGUAAUACUUGGCUCAAGUAUGUAAAUUCCAUAGUAAUAGAUGUCCAACAAUAGCAAUUAAAUGUAGACAUGAUGAUAGAUAUGAUUGCAGCCAUAACACUACUGGAAAAAGAUCUGAAAAAAUUUGAAAAAAUUGACCUGUUAAAAAUACUGAUUACUCUCUUCACAGUUCCAAUUGACUCUACAAAAGGAAUCAAGAUGUUAUAUGUAUUUGUGGACAUCAAAUUGGACGCCAGCCAUUUUAAUUUGUAGACACAGUCAGGUACAACUUUGAAGCUGGGACAUCAUUGGCGAUAGUGAGCACGAUACAAUUUGUGGCAACUCUUCAGGCCGUGUAUGAAGAUUUGUGUAAAGACUACAAGGUGGAGAUUCCACAGUGAAAGCCCUUGUCCCCUGGAGAGAUUCUUGACUGUACAGCUCCUAGAAUAAAACACAAAGAUGCUUUCAUUUAUCUUGGAGAUGGAAGGUUUCAUCUGGAAGCUGUAAUGAUUGCUAACCCGUCUAUACCAGCGUACAGGUACGAAACUUAAAAAGAAUCAAGGGGUAGUGUCAUGCCACAUCUGAUUGCUCCAGAUGGCAGUUCUUUAAAAAAAAAAAAAGAAUUCAAGAUAAAUUAUUCUAACUCAUAUCUUCAAGUUAAAAGUACAAGAGGCAGAAUUUCUUCAAUUUGCCAUUUCCACAUCCCCCAUAAUACGCCUUGUUUG